CAGCCAUAUGACAAUGAAACACUGGUUUCUGUAUGAUCACCAAAGUUAAGCAAUUUCAAGCCUGGUCAUUACCUAGAUGGAUGACUGCUUGGGAAUAGCAGGUGCUGUAAU